rnacentral:rRNA from 1 species
UACGUAGGCAGCGAGCGUUGUUCGGAGUUACUGGGCGUAAAGAGUGCGUAGGCGGUUUUCUAAGUUUGGUGUGAAAUCUCCCGGCUUAACUGGGAGGGUGCGCCGAAGACUGGAAGGCUUGAGUAUGGGAGAGGUAAGCGGAAUUCCUGGUGUAGCGGUGGAAUGCGCAGAUAUCAGGAGGAACACCGGUGGCGAAGGCGGUUCUCUGGGCAUUACCUGACGUGAGGAGCGAAAGCUGGGGGAGCAAACAGG